AUGGGUAAGUUAAGGAAGAGGGAAGUAGGCAUACUCAGCUCACUUCACCCUUUUUCUUUUCCAGGUAGCCUGCCUACAGAGAACAAGGGUUCGUUUUAUUUCCUGCCUGCUCCCAGAGAGGAGGUUAUGGUGUUCCAGAAUGUUCUGUGUCUGGAUGAGGAUGCCUGCCUUAAUUCUGGCUCAGUAUUGGAGAUCCUCCCAUUCAGAGGAUCAUCUCACAGAGGCCUUUGAUGUGCAUUGUGGGUGUGAGAUUUGGAGACGGAAAUGAUAAAAUCCCAAUGAAUAAAUGAUCUGAGCCUCUGGAGACUUCAUAACAGAAGACAAAUUUCCACGCUUGCCCUAUGGGAAUCUGUUAUUCUUGGUGCCAACAUGUUUCCCUCUCCAUCUCGUGUAUAACAUGUUGCUAAGUAAAGCAGAACAGCAGAGAAAUAAAAUCCAUUGGAUCAUAUCCCACAGAUGGGAUCUUGUUUUCCUUGGCCUAAUAUGACCUUAGUAAUUUGCUUCCAGUAAGAAAUUGACCCAAUUCAAGAAGUACAGUUUAAUGCAUGAGAAAUCAGCAGACAUGAACUCUAAAUUCAUGUCUACGUUUAAUCAGUUUUAUAACCCUAAGAAGGAUAGUGAACCACUGUAAGUCCCAAUUAUUGUUCAAUUAAAUAAGGGAAGACAAUUAUCAAUGUGAUGAGGACAUCUUCUGGUUUUGCAGAAAUGUCCUUUCUUCCUGCCUAUAUGGUAAAAUUCUUGAGGUCACAGAUAAGUGUCUUGUGUAGUGUUUUGUGUUCUCACUCUAGACUUUUACACAAAAAGUGCUAAAUAAUUAGUCACCAAAUAUAUGAGUUAUUGAGCUAUUAAUUGGGACUGAGAAUUAGGAACAAAUUUAUUUCCUGUAGGAUUUCUUCCUUGACUUGCCAGUCGCAGAUAGGGCAAAAUGUUUCUCUGCUCUAAUCACGCCAAGCUUAUUACAACAUUUGUUAUAAAAUAUUGGAAUACUCUCCGGGUGGCUCUGACUUGGUAGCCCUUGAAGUAUAUGAA
rnacentral:lncRNA from 1 species